CCAUCUCUCUCUCUCUCUCUCUCUCUCUCUCUCGCUCUCUCUCUCUCACACACGCUCACUCUCGUCACGUGACUGCAGAGACUUUCAAUAGCACUGUGUUAUCCCGACAUAUGAAAAGAGAGAUGGAAAGCAAAAAGAACAGAAGGCGCACGUGGAAGAGACAGGGUAUAAAAAUUCAGGCAAACCUAAAGGAUGUUGGGGAAAUAUACGGAUUACAAACUGGUAAUAAAACGGAGAAAUAUACUGUGCAGUAUUUUAGCUGUUAAAUUCAAAUUAGAAUAAAAUAAAAUCUCAUCGGGACUGGCAUUUUGAAAUAUAGUCGCAGAAGAGGUAGUGAAAUAAAAAGAAUAAACUUCUAAAAUUAAGUUUACGAAUGCAUGCAGCUGGGAACCGCACUUGAUUAGGACGGUGGUGCGAGCGUAUGAAGUGCGCACUAAUAGGAUGCUUGCUGCAAAUGUUGUAUAUAACGUGAUAAAUCACAAGCGGAGAAGACACCACGAGAUGGCAAGGAGGCAAGGAACUGAGAAGAUUACUGUUUAGAAUGAAUGAACGACCAGGAGUUUGUGGGACCAAAUAUUACCGCAAAAAGAGCUGAUCUGUCUCCAGCCAUUGUGUAUCCCUCCAUAUUUCUUAUCAGUUUUGCUGGAGAAUAUCACGGAAACAACGGGCUGAGGGCAGGAACCAGCCUUCGAUGGGAUGCCAGUCUGUCACACACUGGUCAUCCAAUCAAUGUAACAGCGUGUGCUUAAACUAUCAGUAGAAACUGAAGUCCCAGGUGGAAAUCAGAAUGACCAUGGAGUGAACAUAGAAAAUUUGAACCGUUGUCUCUUACUUCAGCCACAAACUCAUCUAGUAAUGGGCUGUGAAGGCCUGAGGAACUCUUGGGAUCAUCAUUCUGGAACACUCACUACUGAAAGGCCAGCAUACCCCUAGUUUGCCUGUCUAGUGAAGUGGAAAGCAGAAAGUCAUGUAUAUGGUCUUCACUGCUGCCACCAAUCAACUCACUCAUAACCAAAAUACUUUUCAUUAUGUCAUCACCCUAGAGAUAAAAAGUCUGGGGCGCCCUUCUGCAUUAAGAAAAGCUGAGGAAAAUUAAUCACCAACAUUUCCAGCUUCCAAAAUGGCCGACACAACAUCACUUUCGGUCACAUGAACUGACAUCACUUCCGACGAGUCAAAAAGACAUUACUUCCAGUUUUCAUCAAAUGACGUCAUUUCCGCUUUCUGUUGCCACAUCACUUCCUGCCAACCAUUUCCUAUUCCCAUAAUACAUUUAUGUAUGUAAACACCAUUUUGAAUGAUAAACUUUGUCAACUGUUACCUCUUUGGUCACAUUUUCAUAAUUUCUUUUGCUACUUUGUGUGCAGGACAAUAUAUACGGGGAGGGUCCCCAACACUGUUUUGUGUGAGACGUUUAUUACUUGGGAAAAUCUCCACACUCCAUAUUGAAUUGGCUGCAAAAGUUCUUGUAGUAUUUGAAAAGUUAUUUUUCAAUUAAUUUUUUCAUAAUACUGCUUGUAAAUAGGAUUCCUUUUGCUUGUAUCUUUUAUUGAAGUAGUAGUGAAACGAUUCACCUUGUCUUCUCCUUUUUUUAUACAUAACAAAGUAUGCAUUUAUUAUGACCUUAUUUAUAUCACUGCCCCAGUUUCUUUACAGCUAAUGCUACCGUUUGUCUUGCUUGCUUUAUGGACUUGUUACACAGUUUGGCUAUAUUGUUCACUAGCUGCUGUGUGUAUUUUAAGCCUGGUUAAUUCAAGGACUGCAAGACAAAAAAAUAGCUAUUUAAGCAUUGUAUCUCUGCAGCCCAGAGCCUCCAUCCUGGAGCUCCAAGUAGAUGGAGCUUAUUCCAAUGGCUGCCAAUACAGUCUUGUUGCAGACCUCUAGAGCUCUGCCAGGUUACACCAUGGUUAAGAUUAGGGUUGUGGGAGGGUUAUCUGACACAGAUAACAACAGCUGUCUGUUAUAUAAACUUCUGGUACUUGUAGCUACAGGGUGGAGGCUUCCAGGCUGCAGAGAUGUAUAAUUGGCUAGAUUUUCACUCCUUGUAUUCAAAAUAGUGAAUUUUGAGGUGAGGUUGGUGCUGUAGGACCCAGAAUGAUGAACAAAGUGCUGGAUAUGAUGCAACAGCUCAUCAAAGUGUAAAGAAGACAUGCAAAAAUAUUUCUUCUGCAUUUGUUCAUCGUGUAGAUCACCCACUUAUGAAAAUAUUAUACUUACCUUCUCUUUACUGCUUUUGUUUAAUGGGUCUGACAGGCCAUCUUCUCCUUUUUUACCCACUUAAAGCCAGUAAAAACAGGCUCAUCUCUUCUUCCAUCAGAAAAGUGUCUUUUUAUUAUGUGACAUUUACCAAACACUGUCACCUACUGAUGUAGCAAUCGAAUGGGCCACCACAAGUAUAAAUGCAUUUAGGUCACUGACAGCAUGCACACUUCAUGUUGAGGUCUGUGUGCAGGCUUCACGCAUAAAGUAUAAAUGAGGCAGUUUGGCGCAUUAUUAGCAGCUGUCUUUAAUAGUGUCAUCCAGGUUAAGGUUGUACUUGAAGAACUGGGUCUUUUGUUUUUAGGGCUGGGAAUUGAUUUAAAAAAUACCUAAUUAAUUGCAUAAUUGUAUAGAAUUAAUCACGAUAAUUCACAUCUAACAUUAAAACUUGCAAUCAUAAAAUAAAUACAUAAAUCAUGAAGUACAUAUACACUGAAUCACAAAAUGAAUGUAGAAUUAAUAUAAAGGAAUUUCUAAAAAAUGAAUGGCAUAAUUUAAACUUAAACAAUGACCUGAAACCUGACCUUUUAACAAAAUUCUAUUUGAGGAAGUAUAAUCUGAAUUUGAAUGCCUUCCUAUAAGGCAACUUGAAAAGAAGGCACUAAGAAAAUGAGGCCAAUGCAUUAAUUCUCAAAUUGGUAUAGCAUAUGAGACAUAGACGUUUCAAAGUAAAAUUAAAUAAUCAAAAUGACCGUAUACUUUAAAUGCAUUGCUAAAGAUUUCCUUAUUCAAGAAAUAAUCAUCUCUUAAAUGGAAUACAUUAAAACAUGUGUUACAUGCCAUCCACAAUUGUUCAUCACCAUCAGUGACUUUAUGAUUAUACUGUACAUAAGUAUUUUUCAACUGGUGUGCCAUGAGAGCUACGCAGGUGUGUUACAGAAAUAAUAGUGUAGUGCCCCAGGUCCAGACCUGAGAGAGACACACUCCUCAGGUGGUCAAGACCUGUCCGAGGAGGACAGGACUACCUGGAGAAGAUGACAUAAAAUUAGCUCUGCAUUUGCCAUUUUGCAGAUACAGCACUUCGAGAGCAAUUUAGCAGCCAGAGUAUGUGUCUGGGAUCCAUCUUGGUGUGUUCACCACCGACUGUCAUAGUACUGAAUGAUAGUGGGCAUAUAAGUUGUCUCUAACCCAAAGGGAUGAAACAGCUGGAAAAUGUGUCCAAAGUGCUCACAAUGUGCCAUGUAUACGAAUGGUAAUCUCCAAGCUGCUUGUUUUGCUGGCAAUUCUAAUAAUUCCUUCCCCUCGGACAGUUUAGCACAUGUAUGAAACAAUGUUUUUGUGGUUGGUGGAAUAGUGGUGUACCUUAGGAUUUUUUGGGUUACAAAAGUGAUCCACCACAGAAAGGUUGGAAAACACUGCUCUACAGCAUUGCUCCUAGCAUGCAGCUCAGUAACACCAUGCAUUACUUGGAUGGUUAUGUUGUGCUUUUUGAAUGAAUUUGCAAAGAUACUACAUGCUGGAAUUAUGGGUAGGGAUAAUCAUUAUACUUCUGUUUCAUACAAGUUUGUCAUUAUAUUAGGCCAGCAAGCACUUUAAUCUACAAAUCAGACUCGCAAGUUAAAUAUAGAGGUUCUAGAGUCUUAUUUUGGUUUUAGUGCCACUCAAAGAAAAUAUAUUUUGCAAGUAUGUGAUAUGAUAUCGAUUUGAUCUUCUAACAGAAAUGUGAAAUGAAAUAAAGAGUGUGUAAUUUUUAUGUAUAAAUCAAGGAAAUGAACACCAGUACCAUGUACUGACAUGUGACAAGGUAUUGUGAACCAUGUAAAAUAAAAAAAACUGUCAUCAUUUUUAAAGGUAGUGUAUAAAAUAUGGUACUGAAUUAUAAAAAAAAAAAGAAUGAAAAUUUUAAUUUAGCUGAAAACAAAGGCAAGUCUGCUAAACCCAAAGGUUAGUGUUAAUGUUUCUGUGGCUUUAGGAAAAACAAAUUACAUCACAUUUUCUGUGGGGUUGAAUGAGGCAGAAUCCUUAUGCAACUUUGUUUUCCUAUUCUAAUUUUGUUUUAGCCUUGUUAAGUUAUAUAUUUAUUAUACUUUGAUUUACUGUAUAAUGCAACACCAUUUUGCUUUUCUACUGCCAUGAUGACAUUUUUGUAAACCAUUGCCAUGGUGAAACUUCUCAUUGCUCGGGGGUGUGUCCCAGAAGGUGCAUCCUAUGACACUAUCAGCACCACCAACAGUACUGGCAAUAACUCAUUGUCCAAGUCUGUGGAUACUCUCUGGAAGUCUUGUGCAAAGCAUAGUGUUGGGUUUUGGGCAAAAACUGGUGAGUGUGUUACUGAUUAUGAGUUUGGUUUAUUUUCUGGUUUUGCAGAAUUAUUGGUUUUUACUUAGAAUAAUACUGAUAUGUUUCAUCUUUUUGACUUGUCAACUUUUCUCCCAUUACGGUCUGCCACUUUUCCAUCUCUUGUCAGCCUAGUAAGUAACCAGAAAACAAGCCAAAUCACAUAAACCAAUUGAUCAAAAUCAAAAAUCCUCAAAAAGAACUACUGUUUCAAAAAGGAUUGCUCAGCUAUAGCAAAUGAUUCCUUUAAACACACAAUUAUGAGGACAAUGACCAGUGCAAAAUUUACCAGAAUCACAAAAUAUUAAAACAAAAAACAAACAAGGGAACGGGAUAAUGAUAAAAAAAGACAAAAGAACAAAAAUAUAAUUUUAACAAGGACUGGCUCCCGGAUACCCCAAAUGUUUAUAAAAAAUGUAAAGAAGAGGGGAGUAGCACGUCUUCAAUUCAAAAACUUCCCCAACCGUUCACAAGAGAAUUUUCUGGGAGUGGUUUAUUAAACAAUAUUUUAGCAAAAAUGAAUGUUUUUGGAUAUUCUGAGAACAGAACUGUAUAAGUACCAUAUGGAAUACAAGUAAAUUGAGAUUUUCUUCAUUGUCAUUUUGAUAUUGGUGGCUGUCAUGAACAUUGUUACUUUUGUUUUGUACUUCAUUUUCUUCUACUACAUUUGUGUACUAUAUACAAGAUAUGGUAAGCAACAGUUAAAAAAAGGUAUUUUUUGUGGUGCAGUCCAUUGAGGUUACAUAAACAUUGAAUCUAAAUAAAACUCUAUUCAGAUCUUUGUCACAAAUCUGAUUCGUUUAUUGACUGUUCAAAUUCAUUAUCUUAUGAGUUGGUUUAAAUAUCUGUCAUGGACUAGCUGUGUAAUCUAAGCAAUCAAUGUAGACCUAAAAGUUAACGUUUACAGUGCACCAUGUAUUGGAAUGUAUUUUGUAAUGCUUGUAGUAAUAAAAUGCUUGUAAUAAAGUACAAAUUUUUGUGAU